GAUGAACGCUGGCGGCGUGCCUAACACAUGCAAGUCGAACGGAGUCCAGCCUUUAAGACCUUCGGGUCAAAGAGGGGAAGCCUGAGUGGCGGACGGGUGAGUAACACGUGGGCAACCUGGCUCAUAGAGGGGGAUAACAGAGAGAAAUUUCUGCUAAUACCGCAUAAGCACACACUGCCGCAUGGCAGAGGGUGAAAAGAGAAUCGCUAUGAGAUGGACCCGCGUCUGAUUAGCCAGUUGGCAGGGUAAGAGCCUACCAAAGCGACGAUCAGUAGCCGAUCUGAGAGGAUGAACGGCCACAUUGGGACUGAGACACGGCCCAAACUCCUACGGGAGGCAGCAGUGGGGGAUAUUGCACAAUGGGGGGAACCCUGAUGCAGCGACGCCGCGUGAGUGAAGAAGUAUUUCGGUAGGUAAAGCUCUAUCAGCAGGGAAGAUAAUGACAGUACCUGAAUAAGAAGCCCCGGCUAACUACGU
rnacentral:rRNA from 1 species